UGCUCACCAACAUACUGAGCUAACCCAUCCAUGAAUCAGGCUUGAGGUUUUUUUUCAUCAUUCAUCAGCUGGCUUCAAGCAUCUCCAUGAAGCCCUAGGGGUGAACUCAGGGAGAGGCACCAGUGUUAACAGUGACAAGAAAAAUGGGAAUUUGAGCCAUCUGUUCAUGGAACUUUCUUAAUCCCUCUAGACCUGUUUAGGCCAAAUUCUGAAUAUAGCAUUUCAAUCCAUGGAUUGUUGUCCACUCUAUGAUUCAGUGAAUUCAAAAAUACCCAGGUCAUCAUGAGAAGCUGAAGCCAUAGAGUUGUCUGAUGUCAUAUAAUUAGAUAUUCCUUCUCUAUUCUGACCCAGCAAUAGGCCAGAAGCUACUUUUCAAAUGGGAAGGAUAUUUUUGCUGUGGAAGGUAAGGCCUUCCUCCAGAACCUUAAAGACUUUCAUUGUGAGGCUGUUAGUAUAACCUACCACACACUCCACAGUAAUAUUAUAUUUCACUUUCUCACUAAAUUUUCUGAAUCAUAUUCCCAAGAGUCAAGGAGCUCACAUGACAGCCUGGACCUGCUGCAGGCAUUGGUAGUUAUGAAUAGCCACCCUGGUAUAUGAAUGACAUUCAGAAAUACUCCUAUUGUCCAAUCUACUAACUUAUCUAGUAAUGACAGUCCCGGGCUUGUGGUCAUAUCACCCUAUGAGAAUAUCUGAGUGAGGCCCAGAUUCCUGAUUGUCUGCAAACAGUGGCAGUUUUAAACCACUAAAUAUUGGGCCGCUCUUACCUGAAAGUGGCAUAUGUCACGUCUGUCUUCAUUUCAUGGGACUAAGGAAGUCACAGAGCCAACAAAGCACAAAUGCAUAAUCCCUCCAUAUGUACAGUGACGACAGGAAGAAACACUAGUUGGCAUGGUAAAGAAUUGUAGACCCUACCACAGUCCCUACACAACUAAAUAUUCAGAUCACCUGCUCAAUCUAAAUAAAGGUUUGCCAUAGUUGUUGUUGCUGUUGUUUAAAUGAGGCAAACUUUGAUAAAGCCAUUCCAGAGAUAAAAGCACAUUUAACAUAAUUUAUUGAGUACUUGUAAUUGAUGGUAACAUAAUGACUGAUUUAAAAGAACCAUUCAGCUCCUUUGAUAA
rnacentral:lncRNA from 1 species